GUUGCAGAGUAGGCAGACACUCUUGCGUGCACUGUAACCGGUUGGCGCGGUUGUGAUAACUUAAUGGAACUUUUGAGUAGAAUUCCGAGGUGUGGAAAGUGGAGUAGUGAUUUGUGGUCCCCGAUUGUAAAGAGUCAGAUGGUUAAUCUUGUCAGUAAGGGCAAAGUUCGGAUUGAGCUUAUGGUAACAGGGGGGCAAGAGUGUUACUGUAACACUUGGAACUUCAAUCUUGGCUGGUCUGUCUAUUCAAACCAGUACUCGAGAGAAGGGACUCAAAGCGCUGUUCUCCUAGGGCUGACUCAACUAUAAUUUUAUGGAAGGAAGUACUCGAUCACUUAUAGCUGGAUUUGAUCCAUCAAUGGAAGCUCGAUUGUAUCGCAGGUUGGUAUGUGC
rnacentral:lncRNA from 1 species